UGCCGACCGACGUGACGCCUUCCAUGGGCACCGAUGCCGAGGGCAGGGACCGGGCUUCGGAAGGAGCGCUGGUGGACGCCACCGACCUGCUGGAGCGCCUCGUCAGGUCCCUGGGGGACACCCUGGCGGGGGCGGUGCGCCUGAUUUUUGGGGGAAAAAAGGAGGGAUAGCGGGGCGAGCGCCGUCCCCGAAGCGGUGGCCUGGCUUUGGGGACGUUUGGGGACGUUUGGGGACGCCGGGGUCCUGGCCCAGGGCUCUGUGCGCCCCCGCUGCAGCCCCCCCCAUCCCCAAAUCCCAGUGCCACCAGCUCGUCCCCUGCCGAAAAAGGAUGGACCUCGCCGAGGCGGAACCCCAAUAAAACCAUCCCCA